rnacentral:miRNA from 1 species
GCAGACACAUUCCAGCCAAUCAGCAGCAGACCCUCCCUCCCAGACCCUCCCACCUCCUGGACAGCUCACUAAGAAUGCAGCUUCACAAUGAAUGUAAAAUGGAUGCUGUCCAGGAGGCGGGAGGGUCUUGGAGGGAGGGUCUGCUGCUGAUUGGCUGGAAUGUGUCUG